rnacentral:rRNA from 1 species
UACGAAGGGGGCUAGCGUUGCUCGGAAUUACUGGGCGUAAAGGGCUCGUAGGUGGCCAACUAAGUCAGACGUGAAAUCCCUCGGCUUAACCGGGGAACUGCGUCUGAUACUGGAUGGCUUGAGUUUGGGAGAGGGAUGCGGAAUUCCAGGUGUAGCGGUGAAAUGCGUAGAUAUCUGGAGGAACACCGGUGGCGAAGGCGGCAUCCUGGACCAACACUGACACUGAGGAGCGAAAGCCAGGGGAGCAAACGGG